rnacentral:misc_RNA from 1 species
UGCCUCAUUUUUGUGAUAGAAGACAUUGAAAUACAUCACAAAGUAUACAGUCAUCCAGCAUAUGGGAAGACAAUUUACAUUACAUCCCUAGAAAUAAUCACAGCACCAUCGCAGGAAGGGGAAAAGAUGUAACUGAAAAACUAUAAUCCCAGAACUUGUAAACUUUAUUCCUUACUCCACUCUUGAUGGUAAAACCAUAAGGGCAACCAAAAAAAAAAAUAAUAAUAAUAAUAAUGAACCAGAACAAAACUACCUAUCUUCUAAAGUAACUG